GACGAACGCUGGCGGCGUGCUUAACACAUGCAAGUCGAACGGAAAGGCCCUGCUUUGGUGGGUUGCUCGAGUGGCGAACGGGUGAGUAACACGUGAGUAACCUGCCCUUGACUUUGGGAUAACUUCAGGAAACUGGGGCUAAUACCGGAUAGGAGCUCCUGCUGCAUGGUGGGGGUUGGAAAGUUUCGGCGGUUGGGGAUGGACUCGCGGCUUAUCAGCUUGUUGGUGGGGUAGUGGCUUACCAAGGCUUUGACGGGUAGCCGGCCUGAGAGGGUGACCGGCCACAUUGGGACUGAGAUACGGCCCAGACUCCUACGGGAGGCAGCAGUGGGGAAUAUUGCACAAUGGGCGGAAGCCUGAUGCAGCAACGCCGCGUGCGGGAUGACGGCCUUCGGGUUGUAAACCGCUUUCGCCUGUGACGAAGCGUGAGUGACGGUAAUGGGUAAAGAAGCACCGGCUAACUACGUG
rnacentral:rRNA from 1 species